rnacentral:snRNA from 1 species
UAUUGCCACUUCGACGAUACUUAAACUAAAAUUGGAACGAUACAGAGAAGAUUACCAUGGUUCCUGCACCCGGAUGACACGCUAAAUCGUGAGGCGCCGGGCGGUUAG